AAAAACAAAGAAAAAAUGAUGCUAAACUAUUUUUGCGAUGUGUUCCUAAUAUGUAAUAUGAAUGUAUUGGGAACAUUUUGCAUUCAUAGUUUUGUGUCAAUAAUAUGCAGAAAGGCC
rnacentral:pre_miRNA from 13 species